rnacentral:misc_RNA from 1 species
CACGAGUGCUCCAAGCGUUAUCCGGAAUUACUGGGCGUAAAGGGUGUGUAGGCGGUUCUGUUAGUCUUUUGUUAAAGCCCUUGGCUCAACCAAGGGACGGCAAAGGAAACGGCAGAACUAGAGGAUGCGAGAGGUAAGCGGAACUCACGGUGUAGAGGUGAAAUUCGUUGAUAUCGUGGGGAACACCAAAAGCGAAGGCAGCUUACUGGCGCACUCCUGACGCUGAGGCACGAAAGCCAGGGUAGCGAACGGG